rnacentral:misc_RNA from 1 species
GUGAAUCAUCGAAUCUUUGAACGCAAAUUGCACUCCCUUCGGAGAGUAUGCCCGUUUGAGGGUCAGCCUAUAAAAAAUCUACAUCGCUGCUGUUUCGUUGAUGCGUUUGUUGGAAAUUGGGUCAUCUUAAACUUUUUGGCUUUAAGCGACUUAAAAUUUUUUUUUUGGCUCCAUGAACGUUUUUUAGUUUUAUCUC